rnacentral:rRNA from 1 species
GCCUACGGGAGGCAGCAGUAGGGACUCUUCCACGAUGGGCGAAAGUCUGAUGGAGGGCAGCGCGUGAGUGAGAAGUUUUCCACAAUGGGUUUAAGCCUGAUGGAGCUACGCCGCGUGAGUGAAGAAGGUUUUCGGAUCGUAAAGCUCUGUUGUUGGUUAAGAAGCCUAGAGGUAGUA